UGGGGGAUAUUGCACAAUGGGCGAAAGCCUGAUGCAGCGACGCCGCGUGGGGGAUGAAGGCUUUCGGGUUGUAAACCUCUUUCGCUAUCGAACAAGGCCCGCUUAGGGUGGGUUGAGGGUAGGUGGAGAAGAAGCGCCGGCUAACUACGUGCCAGCAGCCGCGGUAAUACGUAGGGCGCGAGCGUUGUCCGGAAUUAUUGGGCGUAAAGGGCUUGUAGGCGGCUUGUUGCGCCUGCUGUGAAAACGCGGGGCUUAACUUCGCGCGUGCAGUGGGUACGGGCAGGCUUGAGUGUGGUAGGGGUGACUGGAAUUCCAGGUGUAGCGGUGGAAUGCGCAGAUAUCUGGAGGAACACCGAUGGCGAAGCCAGGUCACUGGGCCAUUACUGACGCUGAGGAGCGAAAGCAUGGGUAGCGAACAGG
rnacentral:rRNA from 1 species